AUCCCCAAAAGUGCAAGACCCUUUAGCAAAAUUCUCGCAGAGCUUCGUCUUGUAAUUGUUCAUAGGAGGGGCAGGGCCGCCACGACCAGCCGGAUCUCUUCCAGGGCCACCUACUGGACCAAGGCUGUUGAUCAACUCUCUUACCAUAGCACUAGCCUGAGAAAUUUGUUCAAAAGUACCCUCCAGUUCAAUGUUUCUGAGAUUUGUAUCUGUUUCAUGCUCCCGGAUUGCCAGCUUUGCUCCCGUCUGUCGACAAAUCUGCUUAGAGUUCACACCACCCUUCCCAAUGAUUGCUCCAGCGAGAGAAGCAUCCACACUGAUCUUUGCAGUUGCCGUGGUACCAAAGCUAGAAGCAGGUCCAGAAACAGCAGGCUCUGUCCGCCCACCAAAACGACUAGGAGCAGGUCCAACACCCAUGGCACGUGGAUCUUCCUGUGAUGGCACAAUCGGCUUACCAAUUUGCCAUUCCCCGUGAGCAAAAUUGCAUGCGUCUCCAAAUUUGCAUCCCUCAGCUGUGUUGAAUUUGUUGCAAAGUUUGGUUUUCACAGCAGGAGCAUUUCCAUUGGACAUGGGUGGUGCAGCCACA
rnacentral:misc_RNA from 1 species